rnacentral:rRNA from 1 species
CCUACGGGGGGCUGCAGUGGGGAAUAUUGCACAAUGGGGGAAACCCUGAUGCAGCGACGCCGCGUGAAGGAAGAAGUAUUUCGGUCUGUAAACUUCUAUCAGCAGGGAAGAAAAUCACGGUACCUGACUAACAUCCCCCGGCUAACUCCGUGCCAGCAGCCGCGGUCAAACGGAGGGGGCAAGCGUUAUCCGGAUUUACUGGGGGUAACGGGAGCGUAGGCGGUUUAGCAAGGCAGAAGUGAAAGCCCGGGGGUCAACUCCGGGACUGCUUUUGAAACUGGUGAACUAGAUUGCAGGAGAGGUAAGUGGAAUUCCUAGUGUAGCGGUGAAAUGCGUAGAUAUAAGGAGGAACACCAGUGGCGAAGGCGGCGUACUGGACUGUAAAUGACGCUGAGGCUCGAAAGCGUGGGGAGCAAAUAGGAUUAGAUACCCUAGUAGUC